GAGUGGCGAACUGGUGAGUAACACGUGGGAAACCUGCCCAGAAGCGGGGGAUAACACCUGGAAACAGAUGCUAAUACCGCAUAACAACUUGGACCGCAUGGUCCGAGUUUGAAAGAUGGCUUCGGCUAUCACUUUUGGAUGGUCCCGCGGCGUAUUAGCUAGAUGGUGGGGUAACGGCUCACCAUGGCAAUGAUACGUAGCCGACCUGAGAGGGUAAUCGGCCACAUUGGGACUGAGACACGGCCCAAACUCCUACGGGAGGCAGCAGUAGGGAAUCUUCCACAAUGGACGAAAGUCUGAUGGAGCAACGCCGCGUGAGUGAAGAAGGGUUUCGGCUCGUAAAACUCUGUUGUUAAAGAAGAACAUAUCUGAGAGUAACUGUUCAGGUAUUGACGGUAUUUAACCAGAAAGCCACGGCUAACUACGUGCCAGCAGCCGCGGUAAUACGUAGGUGGCAAGCGUUGUCCGGAUUUAUUGGGCGUAAAGCGAGCGCAGGCGGUUUUUUAAGUCUGAUGUGAAAGCCUUCGGCUCAACCGAAGAAGUGCAUCGGAAACUGGGAAACUUGAGUGCAGAAGAGGACAGUGGAACUCCAUGUGUAGCGGUGAAAUGCGUAGAUAUAUGGAAGAACACCAGUGGCGAAGGCGGCUGUCUGGUCUGUAACUGACGCUGAGGCUCGAAAGUAUGGGUAGCAAACAGGAUUAGAUACCCUGGUAGUCCAUACCGUAAACGAUGAAUGCUAAGUGUUGGAGGGUUUCCGCCCUUCAGUGCUGCAGCUAACGCAUUAAGCAUUCCGCCUGGGGAGUACGGCCGCAAGGCUGAAACUCAAAGGAAUUGACGGGGGCCCGCACAAGCGGUGGAGCAUGUGGUUUAAUUCGAAGCUACGCGAAGAACCUUACCAGGUCUUGACAUACUAUGCAAAUCUAAGAGAUUAGACGUUCCCUUCGGGGACAUGGAUACAGGUGGUGCAUGGUUGUCGUCAGCUCGUGUCGUGAGAUGUUGGGUUAAGUCCCGCAACGAGCGCAACCCUUAUUAUCAGUUGCCAGCAUUAAGUUGGGCACUCUGGUGAGACUGCCGGUGACAAACCGGAGGAAGGUGGGGAUGACGUCAAAUCAUCAUGCCCCUUAUGACCUGGGCUACACACGUGCUACAAUGGAUGGUACAACGAGUUGCGAACUCGCGAGAGUAAGCUAAUCUCUUAAAGCCAUUCUCAGUUCGGAUUGUAGGCUGCAACUCGCCUACAUGAAGUCGGAAUCGCUAGUAAUCGCGGAUCAGCAUGCCGCGGUGAAUACGUUCCCGGGCCUUGUACACACCGCCCGUCACACCAUGAGAGUUUGUAACACCCAAAGUCGGUGGGGUAACCUUUUAGGAACCAGCCGC
rnacentral:rRNA from 4 species